rnacentral:rRNA from 1 species
CCUACGGGAGGCAGCAGUGAGGAAUAUUGGUCAAUGGACGAGAGUCUGAACCAGCCAAGUAGCGUGAAGGAUGACUGCCCUAUGGGUUGUAAACUUCUUUUAUAUGGGAAUAAAACGUUCCACGUGUGGGAUUUUGUAUGUACCAUAUGAAUAAGGAUCGGCUAACUCCGUUCCAGCAGCCGCGGUAAUACGGAGGAUCCGAGCGUUAUCCGGAUUUAUUGGGGUUAAAGGGGGCGUAGGUGGAUUGUUAAGGCAGGUGUGAAAGUUUGCGGCUCAACCGUAAAAUUGCAGUUGAAACUGGCAGUCUUGAGUACAGUAGAGGUGGGCGGAAUUCGUGGUGUAGCGGUGAAAUGCUUAGAUAUCACGAAGAACUCCGAUUGCGAAGGCAGUUCACUGGACUGCAACUGACACUGAGGCUCGAAAGUGUGGGUAUCAAACAGGAUUAGAUACCCUUGUAGUC